UUUCCUUUGUUGAACUUUCGGUGGGAUCAUUACCGAGUUUACAACUCCCAAACCCCUGUGAACAUACCUUAAUGUUGCCUCGGCGGAUCAGCCCGCGCCCCGUAAAACGGGACGGCCCGCCAGAGGACCCAAACUCUAAUGUUUCUUAUUGUAACUUCUGAGUAAAACAAACAAAUAAAUCAAAACUUUCAACAACGGAUCUCUUGGUUCUGGCAUCGAUGAAGAACGCAGCAAAAUGCGAUAAGUAAUGUGAAUUGCAGAAUUCAGUGAAUCAUCGAAUCUUUGAACGCACAUUGCGCCCGCUGGUAUUCCGGCGGGCAUGCCUGUUCGAGCGUCAUUUCAACCCUCAAGCCCCCGGGUUUGGUGUUGGGGAUCGGCUCUGCCCUUCUGGGCGGUGCCGCCCCCGAAAUACAUUGGCGGUCUCGCUGCAGCCUCCAUUGCGUAGUAGCUAACACCUCGCAACUGGAACGCGGCGCGGCCAUGCCGUAAAACCCCAACUUCUGAAUGUGACCUCGGAUCAGUAGGAAUUCCCCCUUCCC
rnacentral:rRNA from 1 species